UGACCUAAAAAAGGACAAAAAAGAAUUAAAGUUGACUCUGUGACAAAAUAAGGACAACUACCAAGCUUAAGACAACACACCCUUCACAAGUACCAACAACACCAUUCAGAAAUUGCAGCAGAUUGCUAAAUGACAUUUGUUCCAAAGGCAGAUAUGAACUUAUUGCAUAGUAAUAGAAAAGAUCAGAGCUUCUACUUGAGACAACUCCAGAAUCUUGCUUUAUCUGCUAUUAAACACUCAGUCCAAUCUAUAAACCCAGGUAUCACUUGUCUUCAAGUGAGCAAAAGUCAGCAAUAAAGGGAGGCAAAGAACCAUAAAAUGAAUGUGGAAUCUAUAGCUGAACAAUAUGGCACAUGGGGAAAAGAGUUAAAUUAAAACAGGGAAAGGCAAGAAAAAAUGAGAAAAGGACAGAGAAAAAUAUAACUGAGCCAGCUGUCAGGUACAAAGUAAAGCAGGAACAUAAAUUUCUCCGAGAACAAAAUUACUGAUUUUUGCAUUAGGUAUUGGUGCCUCAAGCAGUAACACAUGAGGAUAAACUUACAUGACUGCAACGCCUCUGCUAAGCAUGGAGUGCCAGUUUGUAUUGACACAGUACUGACUUGGUACCAGAAUGCCUAAGCCAUACAUGGAACACCCUACCCACAGACAGCAGGAACCUGGCACUUAGCUCAUUUACAGACUGUUAGCAAACAUCUCCCACCUAGCAGUUAGCAAGAAAAUUCACUUCACACUGACAGUCUACAGCAGCUGAGGAGAUCUCCCAGUGUAUGUCAAAGCAUCAACCCCUUCCUAGAUAUACACAGCUCACACAACCCACAUUUGUGGAGUACUGUUCAAGAAGCUGAACUACAGCUUCAGUUCCAAGAAAUAAGUUCUUUCACCCACAGAUAAAAAGUUGUGAUUCAUGUAGUAUAAUCUUUUUAUUCCUGUUCUUCUGGCUUUCAAUUUAAAAGUGGAUGUGCUGUUCUCCAGCCUCAGUCACAUUGAAAGACAUCUCGUGAAAUACAAGCUUAAUGAACAGCACUGGUACCUUAAAAAAAUCAAGAUUCUGGUAUGUUAUGAGAAAUUUCACAGCUGAAUUCACUCACAGUUUUUGAGUGCUCAAAAGCAUACAUUUGGUUACUAAAUUACAAACUAAUUCUGACCUUCUAAGCAAGCAUCAGCUGAGCUUCUGUAGCUUCUCACACAUUUCCACUCUCAAUUGCAAGACCCAACAGUGCUGAGGACUGUGUCUCACUCUGCAGCCCGAGUGUGCUGUCCCCCCACCGCUCCCAGCCCAGCCCACCAGCUUUGCCCCACCCAUGCCCCAGAGAAAGCAGCUGUGCCUACAGGGAACUGCAUCUUGAUCAUGACAAAAACAGAACAUGUGAAAAGUUGAAACUGCCUUUUUUUUUUAAAUAAGCAGAUCCACCAGCUCCACUGGGAUUAUGGAACAGAAGGAAGGACUAUCCAAGAGCUUUGAUAACAACUUGAACUUUGCCCAAAAUCGCAAGAGGACAUAUGACUCCCAACCCUACCGGUGGAUUACUGAGCAGCUGGGCUUGAGAUUACCAGGAAUUACUCCAGCAGCUCUCUCUCCAGCCAGCUGGAUUUUUACUCAGGACCCAGAAGGAGAAGUUUCAUCCCAGGGCAAAAAGCUUCUGCCUCAGUCCAAGAGCAGCUGGCCAGUUUGUGCAUGAAGUAUUUGUGUACCACCAGAGGUGAUUAGGUAUACAAUUAAACGUAGAAUUACUUUGCUGAAACCACACAGUAUUUAGGUACAUUAGGACCAAAAUGAAAAAAAGAAAAUCUCUAUGCCACAAUUUAAGCUUGGUAUUUGACCUAGAAUAGGCUUGAUAUACAAGCAAAGCAUUGGAAAAAUCAUUCCAUACAAGAGAAGUCACAGCAAGAAAGGCUUUGUGUUGCAAUUCACUGAUAUUUCAGCCAACAGAAGUGUUCAGAGCAUCACAGAUACUGAAGGCACGAAAUAAAUGGUUCAACACCAAAAAUAAAAGAGAACUUAUAUAGAACAGAUACUCAACAGUGCCCCUGCUGUGACCUGUAUGUCCCAGAAACACAUAAUUACAGUUCUAUUAAGAAAGCUACAGCAUAAUUCCAAGAAUCAAACAUACACUAGGCUAUCAGGUGCCAGUGUCACACAGCCUGACCCACAUCCCCAAGGUCAACACAGCACGACGUUUCUCUGCUGGCCUUGGCCCACAACCAGGGAACUUGGAGACACUGGUCUAUUCCAAUGUCCAUCUUCCCUACCUUAGUAUUGUAUACACAAAUCCCAAAUGAAUCCUCUCACUGUGCUUGGGUUUUACUGAGAGGACACUCCCUACAAAUGCUGGCAGUUGCAUCCCACAGCAGCCCAGAGCGGCUAUCCUGAGGCAUGACUCACGUGAGCAAUCCUGCUCGGUGGAACACGUACAGCUCCCGACCCAGCCUGGAAGUGCAGGAAGGGACAGCCCGAACAAAGCUCCGGAUCAGGGGGAACUCUGGGACAUGAUGUGGCACCAAGAUGACACACAAGUCUCUGUCCUGAAAGACAUUGGCAGGCAAUAAAAGUGUUCUCUAAGCUUCACCCAAAGCCCUCUGAGGGGACAGACAGCCCUUAGGUGUCUGAAUGCAGGGUUUACACUGCACACCACCAAGCACUGCUCUGCCUGGCCAGCACCAAGGAACUGACAGCUCAGAAAUGGCUUCACUUUAAGCAAACUAUGGAAUGAACCUUCCUUACUACAUCUGGGGAUUCCAGCGUGGCAUUUUAUUUCAUAACUGACAUUGCUGGAUGGAUAAAUUACAUACAUUUGAAAUGCUUUCUGGGUCAGCUCUCGCUAGGAACUUCCUUUGGUGGUAAGCAGUGGUUUUGAGUGUGCUGGUUCUUAGGGCCAAGACAGUGUCUCUGGUACCCAGGGCCUGUCUCCAAGGCACACUGCCAUGCAGUGCUUUAUGACAUGACUUUAGAACACUGAUGUGCAUUAAGAAAGUCUCAGAAAGUGGUCUUUGUUACCUCAGACAGAGGGAUGACACAAGGCGUGAGUGGAAAAUAGCUACUGCACUGUGAAUCUACAAUGCCACAGUUCAGUCUAUAGGUAAAUAUUAUGAAUCUCCUUAAUACCAUUGUUUUAUAGGCUUUAACUCCAUCUCCUUUAAUAAAUUUUGCUAAUUUUGUUUUUAA